UAUUAAGUCUUCCCCGGAAGACAUGUGUCGCCUGCUAGUUCAUUCUAUAUGUAAUAUAUCACGUAUAAUGUUGAAAAAGUAAAUUAUUGAAAUGGUUUUUGUCACUAAACAGGAAGUUGAUAAGCGACAGAUUCGAAAAUGUCUUACACAAUACAGUUGGCCACACUGAUGCUCUGUGCCAAAUAUCAGGGAGUUGCCCCAUGUGGUUCUUGAGAAAACUGUGACAGAAAUUUGUUUGCUGUAAAAAAUUCUAAGUCCCGGCAAACAGGAAGUUGAUAAGCGACAGAUUCGAAAAUGUCUUACACAAUACAGUUGGCCACACUGAUGCUCUGUGCCAAAUAUCAGGGAGUUGCCCCAUGUGGUUCUUGAGAAAACUGUGACAGAAAUUUGUUUGCUGUAAAAAAUUCUAAGUCCCGGCAAACAGGAAGUUGAUAAGCGACAGAUUCGAAAAUGUCUUACACAAUACAGUUGGCCACACUGAUGUUCUGUGCCAAAUAUCAGGGAGUUGCCCCAUGUGGUUCUUGAGAAAACUGUGACAGAAAUUUUUUGUGACGACGACGACGCCAGACGACGACGCAGGACGACGCAAGACGACGGAUAGUGAUCCCUAUAUGUCGCCACUGCGUAACGCAGGUGACACAAAAACAAUGGUUUGUACCUGACUGUCUAUGCUUUUGUAGAGGUCAUGCAGUGUGCAAGGUUGGAAUCAUUCAUCAUGAACACAGGAAUCGUGUGAUGUCUAAAUGCAUGCUUCCUGUACUAGAGAUGACAGAUGUUCAUGUACUAUCAAUUUAAGUAUGCAAUCAUCAUACAGAGAAACAGAUUAUCAUUAUCAUGAUAUCAGUAAAAUCGGUGAAUCCGUCUGGAUGAUAGUAAAUUUUGGACUUACCAACGA